rnacentral:rRNA from 1 species
AAGCCAUGCAAGCCAGUUCAGGCAACGAAACUGCGAACAGCUCAUUAAUACGCUCAGAACCUACCUGGUUUCGACUCAAUAGGGUCCUACAUGGAUAGCUGCGGUAAAUCCGGAGCUAAUACAUGCAGUUUAGCCAUCUUAAGUGAGUUAAGAUGAGGACAUGACCGAAAGGCGUACCGCAUGGUUGAGCGCCCUAUCAGCUAGUACGUAGUGUCUUUUACUAUGUAGGCUAUCACGGGUAACGGGCGGUUAUCGUCGGACUGCCGGAGAAGGCGCCUGAGAGACAGCGGCUAUUCCUAUGGGAAGCAGCAGGCGCGAAACUUCCCCACUCGCGUUUUCGCGGAGGGGGCUAUGGCCAGUUCCAUCGUGUCCAUUAAAGACCGAGGGAUAGGAUCACGCUUUCUCAGCGUGGUGGAAUCUAGGAGAGGGCCAGUUCUGGUGCCAGCAGCUGCGGUAAUUCCAGCUCUCCGAGUUUGCUCCCACUGCUACCCUUAAAACGCCCGUAGUCGGAGGUCGAAGCGUGAAUAGCGCGUUCACCGUGAAUAAAUCAGAACGCUUAGAGUAGUUAACAACUGAAUGACUAAGCGCGGUAUGAAAGCUUUACCCGAUAAGGGUCAACUCAACGAGAGCCACCGGGGGUGGUCCUACUCUGUGGCGAGGGGCGGAAUCUGUUGACCCGCGGGGGAGGAACAAAUGCGAAGGCAGCCACCUAGGGGGUAUCUGUCGAUCAAGGGCGAGAGCCGCAGUAGCCAACCGGAUUAGAGACCCGGGUAGUUGCGGCCUUAAACGAUGCCGACAGGGCCUGGUCGAGAGGCUGGGUCCCAGGAGAAAUCAUAGUCUCUGGGCUGGGGGGGAACUACGCCGGCAACGCCGAAACUUGAGAAAUUGGCGGAAGGGCACACCAGGGGUGGAGCUUGUGGCUCAAUCUGACUCAACACGGAGAAACUUACCGGGACCAGAUAUUGGUAAUGACUGACCAGCUAAAGACUGUUCAGGAUAUGAUUUUUGGUGGUGCAUGGCCGUUGGUGGUGCGUGGAUUGAUCUGUCAUGCGUCGAUUCAGAUAACGAGCGAGACUACCGCCGGUUACCUAGUGCCAUCCGCGUCAGCGGUUUGACUCUUCUAACCGGGACUCCCUGCGUUUAAGCAGGCGGAAGAGGGUAGCAAUAACAGGUCCGUGAUGUCCUUUAGAUGCUCUGGGCUGCACGCGCGCUACAAUGCUGGGAUCAAAGGGACGCUACCCCGAAAGGGCGUGCCACUCCCAUAAUGCCCAGCGUAGUUGGGAUCGGGGAUUGUAAUCAUCCCCGUGAACCAGGAAUCCCUUGUAAGCGCGUAUCAACAGUGCGCGUUGAAUACGUCCCUGCCCUUUGUACACACCGCCCGUCGCUCCUACCGAUUGGAUGGAUCGGUGAAACUGUUGGAGGCGCAAGCCGAAGGCAGUUGAGCCCAUCGAUUUA